rnacentral:snRNA from 1 species
GGCUUUUCUGUCAAAGUUCUUCU